ACUCCUACGGGAGGCAGCAGUGGGGAAUUUUGGACAAUGGGCGAAAGCCUGAUCCAGCAAUGCCGCGUGAGUGAAGAAGGCCUUCGGGUUGUAAAGCUCUUUUGUCAGGGAAGAAACGGUGAGAGCUAAUAUCUUUUGCUAAUGACGGUACCUGAAGAAUAAGCACCGGCUAACUACGUGCCAGCAGCCGCGGUAAUACGUAGGGUGCAAGCGUUAAUCGGAAUUACUGGGCGUAAAGCGUGCGCAGGCGGUUUUGUAAGUCUGAUGUGAAAUCCCCGGGCUCAACCUGGGAAUUGCAUUGGAGACUGCAAGGCUAGAAUCUGGCAGAGGGGGGUAGAAUUCCACGUGUAGCAGUGAAAUGCGUAGAUAUGUGGAGGAACACCGAUGGCGAAGGCAGCCCCCUGGGUCAAGAUUGACGCUCAUGCACGAAAGCGUGGGGAGCAAACAGGAUUAGAAACCCGAGUAGUCCCAUG
rnacentral:rRNA from 1 species